rnacentral:rRNA from 1 species
UACGUAGGGGGCUAGCGUUGUCCGGAAUCAUUGGGCGUAAAGCGCGUGUAGGCGGUCCGGUAAGUCCGCUGUGAAAGUCGGGGGCUCAACCCUCGGAUGCCGGUGGAUACUGUCGGGCUUGAGUACGGAAGAGGCGAGUGGAAUUCCUGGUGUAGCGGUGAAAUGCGCAGAUAUCAGGAGGAACACCAAUUGCGAAGGCAGCUCGCUGGGACGUUACUGACGCUGGGACGCGAAAGCGUGGAGAGCAAACGAGG